UUUUUUUGUUUCACCAAUUGAGCUUUGAGUGUUCUAUUAGUUCUUUCCAUUGUGGCCUGUCCUUGAGAAUUAUAAGAGAUUCCUGUUGUGUGUGUAAUUUUCCACUGACUUAAGAAUUUUUUUAAAGGAUUUACUACAGUAUCCUGGCCCAUUAUCUGUUUUAAUUUUUUCUGGAACUCCCAUGACUGCAAAACAAGAUAAUAAAUGUCUUUUAACAUGGGAAGUACUUUCUCCUGUCUGGCAGGUUGCCCAUAUGAAAUGGGAAUAAGUAUCAACUGUCACAUGGACAAAUGACAAUUUUCCAAAUGAAGGUACAUGUGUGACAUAACUCAUUAGGACGUAGACCUCUGGGAUUAACUCCUGCCUCCUCAGUGGGCUGGUGUAGGACUUGACAGUGGGUGCAACGUUGUACAAUAUUUUUUGCCUGUUUCCAUGUGAUAUCAAAUUUAUUUUUUAAUCCUGUUGCAUUUACAUGAGUCAGGGCAUGAAGUUCUUGUGCUUCCAUGAAUGCAGAUGAUACUAGCAAGUCAGCUUGUUCAUUUACCUUAGUUAAAGGCCCUGGUAAAUUAGUAUGUGCUCAAAUAACAGUAAUAUAAAAUGAGAAAUUUCUUUUUCUUACAGUUUGUUGUAACAAAUUAAACCGCUGGUUUAACUGAUCAUCCAUACUAUAUUUGAUUAGGGCUGUCUCAACAUCCUUUGUAGCCUGUACUACAUAUGCAGAAUCUGACACAAUGUUAAUAGGCUGAUUAAAAUCUUGUAACACUGAAAUGACAGCAACCAACUCUGCUCUUUGAGCUGAGUGAUAUGGAGUUUCAAUGACUUAUUUUUUGGUCCGGCGUAAACUGCUUUUCCCUUGCUGGAACCAUCAGUAAACACCACCAGAGCAUUUUCUAAAGGUUUAUGUCUGGUAAUUUUAGGUAAAAUCCAAGUAGUCAGCUUUAAAAACUGGAAGAUUUUUGUUUUUUGGGUAAUGAUUGUCAAUAAUUCCCACAAAAUCAGCAAGACCAGUCUGCCCUGCACCAGAAGUGAUAAAGUCUUGUCUAAUCUGUUCCUUGUUUAAAGGAACAAUGAUUUUAUCAGGGUCACUUCCAGACAAUUUUACUAUUUGUAAUCUUGCCUGACCAAUAAAUAUAGCCAUCUGAUACAAGUACAAUGUAAAAGUCUUAAUCGUACUGUGAGGAAGGAAGGACCACUCCACAAGAUCUGUGUUUUGAACAAUAAUGCCUGUUGGAGAACGUGCAGUAGCAAAAAUCAAAAGUUGGAGUGGGGCUAAGUGAUCUAUUCUAUUUACUUGUGCUGACCAAAUUUUUUCUUCAGCUAAUUCAAUUUCUUUUGUUGCCUCAGGAGUUAAUGUUCUUUUACUAUUCAAUUGU
rnacentral:lncRNA from 1 species